GAUGAACGCUAGCUACAGGCUUAACACAUGCAAGUCGAGGGGCAGCAUGGUCUUAGCUUGCUAAGACUGAUGGCGACCGGCGCACGGGUGAGUAACACGUAUCCAACCUGGCCCAUACUCGGGUAUAGCCUCUCGAAAGGGAGAUUAAUCCCCGAUGUUGUUGUUAUGUCGCAUGAUGUUUCAACCAAAGAAUUUCGGUAUGGGAUGGGGAUGCGUGACAUUAGGUAGAUGGCGGGGUAACGGCCCACCAUGCCUACGAUGUCUAGGGGUUCUGAGAGGAAGGUCCCCCACACUGGAACUGAGACACGGUCCAGACUCCUACGGGAGGCAGCAGUGAGGAAUAUUGGUCAAUGGCCGGAAGGCUGAACCAGCCAAGUAGCGUGAAGGAUGAAGGUUCUAUGGAUUGUAAACUUCUUUUAUACGGGAAUAAAACAACCUACGUGUAGGUGCUUGUAUGUACCGUAUGAAU
rnacentral:rRNA from 1 species